UGGCUCUGGCAUCGAUGAAGAACGCAGCGAAAUGCGAUAAGUAAUGUGAAUUGCAGAAUUCAGUGAAUCAUCGAAUCUUUGAACGCACAUUGCGCCCGCCAGUACUCUGGCGGGCAUGCCUGUUCGAGCGUCAUUACACCCCUCAAGCCCCCGGGCUUGGUGUUGGGGAUCGGGGACCGCGCCUCGUCGCCUCCGGGCUGCGAGGCCGCCCCGUCCCCCAAAUGCAUCGGCGGUCCCGCCGCGGCCUCUUGCGCGUAGUAGCUAACACCUCGCGCCGGAUCCCGACGUGGCCCACGCCGUAAAACCCCCGACUUUUACAAGUUGACCUCGAAUCAGGUAGGACUACCCGCUGA
rnacentral:misc_RNA from 1 species